AUUUAGCGGAUCGUACAUAUCAGAAUGACACAUGCUGUUCUGAUUGUAGAGUUAUGUGAAAUGGAAAGAAAGAGAUACAUGUACAUACAGAGACUGUUUUGAUAUUAAGGUGUAAAAAUGAGCUACCAGAAAAGAUGCUGAAAAUUUUAAAACUGUUUUAACAAGAGCAUAAAAAAAUAGAGAAAAAAGAACAAUACCAGGUCUGGACCUUUGUGGCUGCAUGCAAUUAAUUCUAAAAUACCAGGAAACAAGAUGUAGCUGCACAGCAGACAUGGCAGAUCUUAAAAUUGCUAAUAGACAUCAAUUCAACAUUUUCGAGCUGCAUAUCGAAAAUGAAAGCAUUCCUUUUCAUAGAAUCCAAGAAAUCUUUUAACCAAGUCAAGUGGUUAUUAGACCUGCUAUCAUGAAAAUAUUAACAUAAAUAUUACAGUCACAUGUAAUAUC